rnacentral:rRNA from 1 species
UGGGGAAUAUUGCACAAUGGGGGAAACCCUGAUGCAGCGACGCCGCGUGAGCGAAGAAGGUUUUCGAAUCGUAAAGCUCUGUCCUAUGGGAAGAUAAUGACGGUACCAUAGGAGGAAGCCCCGGCUAACUACGUGCCAGCAGCCGCGGUAAUACGUAGGGGGCAAGCGUUGUCCGGAAUCACUGGGCGUAAAGGGUUCGCAGGCGGAAAUGCAAGUCAGUUGUGAAAGGCAGAGGCUCAACCUCUGUAAGCAAUUGAAACUGUAUUUCUUGAGAUGUGGGGAGGCAAGUGGAAUUCCUAGUGUGGCGGUGAAAUGCGUAGAUAUUAGGAAGAAUACCGGUGGCGAAGGCGACUUGCUGGACACAAACUGACGAUGAGGAACGAAAGGGUGGGUAGCAAACAGG